rnacentral:rRNA from 1 species
CAGCCGCCGCGGGAAUACGAAGGGUGCAAGCGUUACUCGGAAUUACUGGGCGUAAAGCGUGCGUAGGUGGUGGUUUAAGUCCGUUGUGAAAGCCCUGGGCUCAACCUGGGAAUUGCAGUGGAUACUGGGUCACUAGAGUGUGGUAGAGGAUAGUGGAAUUUCCGGUGUAGCAGUGAAAUGCGCAGAGAUCGGAAGGAACAUCUGUGGCGAAGGCGACUAUCUGGGCCAACACUGACACUGAGGCACGAAAGCGUGGGGAGCGAACAGGAUUAGAUACCCCAGUAGUCCCUGUCUCUUAUAC